rnacentral:rRNA from 1 species
UGAGGGAAAGGCGAAAAGAACCCCGGCGAGGGGAGUGAAAAAGAACCUGAAACCGUGUACGUACAAGCAGUGGGAGCCCCACCACCAAAGCAUUCUCUGGUGUUGAAGGCCCUGCAAAGCAGCAUCGCGGUGGCGGAGCGUCGUUUGCGACGCCCAACACACAAAACAAGCGGUGAGUGCUUUGGGGUGGGGUGACUGCGUACCUUUUGUAUAAUGGGUCAGCGACUUAUAUUCUGUAGCAAGGUUAACCGAAUAGGGGAGCCGGAGGGAAACCGAGUCUUAAUUGGGCGUUAAGUUGCAGGGUAUAGACCCGAAACCCGGUGAUCUAGCCAUGGGCAGGUUGAAGGUUGGGUAACACUAAC